AGGGUGAUUAUGCGACCAACCAGAGGAGGAAGGAGUCAUUCUAAAUGACUUUACUCAGAAAUGGAGAAUUAUCACUUGAAGUUGCUAGAAACGAACAAUAUUGUGUUUCUGCCCCAAAGAUCAAAUUGAUUAGUAAUGCUUGGUAACUUCUCUCUAUUUUUUCUUCAUUGGUUUAUGUUUAAUCAAAAAUACCAUUACAGAGUAUCUGGCUUAUUAUCCUGUGUUUCUUCACACGCAGUUGAUUUGCUACUAAGGCUAUCUAUGCUGAUAAUAUAAUACUCUGUUACUGAACAGUAGAGAAAAUACUCAAGAACUCAAUGUCUAGGUUUCACAUUUGCAUUUCCUCCAUGCUUUUUAUCUUUCUUGAAAAUAAAUUGCUACUGACGAUAGACACUAACUUAUGAGUAUAUAUCAUUUUUUUCACCAAUGUUGCUGAAAAGAACUUGUGAUUAGGGAAUGGAUUUAUGCUUCACAUACAGAAUAUCUUUAAUCCUAUAUAAUAGUUUCUUUUUCAUGUCACAGUGUGGUUUUAGUAUUAAGUGGUCAUCCAACGAUGCAUAGUGGUGACAAGUCCAGCAUCAUGGUAGGCAUGAGUGUGCCAGACAGCAAAAUCUAAUCAAAGAAACUUACGUGAAGCAAGUUUAUCUGUCUCGCAAUUUCAAGGAAUUUAAGGUCAGAAGAUGAUGUGUAACAAGAACAUGACAAAAUGAGACCUUUGUAUCACAGGAGACAAAAUUGACCGAGAGCAAUCAAUCUCAAAUUAUCCUAUGUAACCCUUGUCAGUACUUCUUAAUGUUCACAGCUACACUCUCGCAAUGCUUCCUAUUUAUUGAUUUUUAAUUUGAAAGAAAAUCAUUCAAUUGUGUGACUGGUUGUGUUCUCUUUAAAAUCCAGAAUUAAUUUACUGGUCAUGCUGGCAAGGCUAGUAUUUCAAAAUUUUGUCAAUGAUUAGCAGAGGGACUGCUUAUGGUCAAAGCAGUUGUCAAGCACCAACUUAUCAGUGGUAGAAACUUCGUUUAGGACCUUGUGCAAAAGAGAAAUUGUGGCUGAAGAAACAAGUUCUCUAUGUCAAGUUUUCACACUUGCUUAGUGUUCUUCUAGCAUUCAGUGGUCAAUCAAGGAUGCAUUGGUUGAGAAUAGGAAAUAACAGCCUUAAUUUAGAAUGAAAAAUAUUUUCAGACUACUGAGAAGCAGCUACACCAGAACAUUUUUCUAAAUUUUGUAUUAUGGAGAACAGUGCCAGGAAGUUACAACGAAGGAAUCAAAUUUUGUUUCUACCCCGAGGACCAAAUUAGAUAGUUGUGCGUGAAUUGAUUUACUACUAAGGCUAAAUAUGCUGAGAAUUUUCUGUAAAGGGCUCAAAUGGUGUGCCUGCUGCACAUAUCAAAUUGAAUUCAUUUGCUACUCAUGCUAGCUAUUCCAAGAAUUUAAGGCUCCUUCACCUAUCAGCAGAGAAAAUAUUGAAGGACCAAAUUCUAUUGCUCAAUAAUUUCUGAAAAUUCAUUGAGGCUCAGGUGCUCAAUGUCUAGUUUUCACAUUUGCUUGAGGAGAGAAAAAAGGAAGCUAUUUUAAUGACAAGUCAUUGUUACUUUGAUUUUGGAUGACACCACCAAAUAAAUUGGUCAUUGGACUCAAAAGAAUCAAUUUACUAGUCAUGCUAACAAGGCUAGUAUGAAGAAAUUAUGUGGAAAAGUUACCCUGAAAGUUUGUGUGUUGUGUUGGAUAUGGUUCUUGCGUGACUUUGACGGAUUAUCGGCUUACAUUGACGCAUUCGGGGUCUCGUUCGAUGGUGAGGGGGCAGGGGUGAGGGGGCAGCACCUCCUUGACAGUAAGCCUAAUUAGUAAUUGAGCUUAGAAUUGAUUUGUAAAUAUUUGGGUCUGGGUCAAGUUAGAUUGGGUUAGCCCAAAUGGGGUUGGGGUUACUAUUAUACGCAUAUUGUUAUAGUGGAAAAACCCUAGUGUGAGAAAAAUAGAGAGAAAAAGUGAGUUGCCAAUACUUUUUCAUCAUUGUAUUCUUCAGAUUCUUGAAACCCAAUAAAAUUGUUCUAUUUGAAUGCUGGACGUAGUUCUCAGUAAUUGAGAACGAACCAGGGUAAAUUGAUUGUGCCCUCUUU